GCAUUGGUGGUUCAGUGGUAGAAUUCUUGUCUUCCGUGUGGAAGACCCAGGUUAGAUGCCUGGCCAAUGCG
rnacentral:tRNA from 1 species